rnacentral:tRNA from 871 species
GGGGGCGUGGCGAAAUUGGUAGACGCACUGGAUUUAGGUUCCAGCGCCGCAAGGUGUAAGAGUUCGAGUCUCUUCGCCCCCACCA